rnacentral:lncRNA from 1 species
CCAUCGAGCUUGAAACAACAGCUGAAAAAAAAGCAGAAAAUGAAGCCAAAACUAGUGCUAAAUUAGAAGACAAAGCUCAGAAUGAAGCCGAAGCCGAUGAAAAAGAUGAAGAAAAGGCCAAGGCCGAAUCUGAAGUUGACGCAGAAGAUAAAAAAGAAGCUGAUAGCAAAGCCAAAGUUGCUGCUGUAGCCGUGUCUAAGGCAGAAGCUGAAGCCAAUGCAGAUGGAAAGGCUGAACUCGAAGCCAAAUCUAGUAGUGCUGCUUCUGACGGGAAGGAAAACGUAUUAGUCACCGACAUCUGCAAGAAAACAGAAUUCGACAGCACAUGCAAGAAAACAUUUGAGUCUUCUACAAAGACAAAGAGCGCGAACAAUGUCAACAAGCUUCUAGAAAUUGCUGUCGAUGAUAUGAAGAAAAAGGUUGAAGAUGAACAAAAAAUCGACUUUGGAAAAAUCGUUAAACCCCACGAAGCUUUCUUGUUAAAAAAGAGCUAUUUGUCGAUCUACAAAGAACUUAGCUUUGUGCAAGUGAAGGUUAACAGCCCCAGAUGUGAUCGUGCACUUGUCAUAUCAACUCUGAACGCCAUUAAAUCCAAGAUCGACAAGUGCGACACCCUCAGUGCUUCAUCUUCUUUCAAACUAUCUGGGAGUUUUCAAAUAGAAAAGAAGAAAACUGUGGAUAACAAUCAGAAUCUCAAACAAUCGGUCUCUAAUGCUAUUUCGAUCUGCCAAUCUCUGCCUGCAUAGAUUAACUUUUUCGAAGCAUCGAUUGAUUGAUUGGUUGACAAUUGACAUCAUUCCAUGAAAUAUCUCCAAUUUCAACAUUAAAGGCGCGCGUAUGGAAAUAUGCACUCUCUUGAUAUCUACUACACCUUCAAUUUUAUGACUUUACUCUUUGUAAUCAAUACAUGGAAAUUGUGUUUUAAUAAAUGACAUUUCAUUAUAUAAAAUUUAUGUCACAAUAUUCAAAUUUAUGCCACCUUUAAUUUUAUUCAUUGGACUUUACGUUUUGUAAUUCAAUAGUCUCUUAACUAUUGAAUUAGCAGUUACAUGAAUUGCUAACUAUCUUAACUAACCACUAAUCAUUUAUAUAGUCUCUUAACUAUUUAUUGCUAACUAACUAACUAACUGUAACAGAUCGAAACUUAUUCUAAAGUUAGUUGUGGCGGAGACCCAUGCCGGGGCGGAUGAACCAUCAGUGUUCAAGGAGUCACGACGGAAGCAAACUACUAAGAAUAGUGAUUGUCUAUUAUUGAUUAGUUAAUAGUUAUCAAGGUUAAUUAGUAGUUAUGUUGACACUAACGGCAAGUAAUGCCUACAUUAAGAAAAUAACGUUUUUAUUAUUUAAGAAAGUAACGUUUUUAUUAUUUAAAGUUUUUAACUGUAAUUCUUUAAAGUUGAUUUUGAUUAAUUUUCCACGUUCGGCUGUGAAAGUGGAAGCAGUUACAUUUUGUAAAUACUAUACGAAGAAAAGAAGACAUCCGUGAUCAGCACGGUUUUACCCAAUACCUUCUUCAUUCUCUUCCGUCAUCUUCACAGUCUCACAACAAUAUGGUAUCAUCACUAGAAGAUUCUGCUUCCGUAUCCAAGGUAUUGGCGACGUCCGGUGAGCAACCGUUUCAUGUCAAGAAGCUCCAGUUUGUCACCCUUCAUCGAGACAACUACGUCUCCUGGAAAGCUGAUUAGGUUAUGGCUGUACUUCGUGGCGCUGAUCUGCUCAAAUACGUGGAGGGAAAUGUUGAUUUCUCUCAUCCGGUUCUUGCUCGCCAAGACCAACUCAUCUUGGGGUGGCUGCUGUCGGCCCUCUCCCCCACGAUUCUGUCUCAAGUGGCGAAUUUUUUAACCUCUGUCGAAGUCUGGAAGGGGCUGUCUACUCUCUACUCCUCUACUUCCUUGACGCGAGUGUUGUUCUUGCAUCGUCAAUUUUUGGCGAUUAAGAAGGGCACAAUGUCGAUGACUGCAUACAUCGAUCAUGUUUGUUCCAUGGUUGACAAUCUUAGAGUAGUUGGAGAAGUGCUUAAGGACUCGGAAAUCGUCCUCAACGUCAUUGGAGGACUUAGUCCAGAAUACUCGGCAUUCUCCACUUUUAUUACCACCAAGUUUGAUCAUUCUAUGACAUUCGUGGAUUUUAAAGCGAUACUUAUGGAUCUGGAUCUGAACGAUUCAUUGGUUGAAGUUGUCUCUCCCCCCAUUGCUGUGAAUGUGGCUGCCAUUUCCAAAAAUUAUGCCUCUGAUGUUCGAGGUAACCCGUGCCAAAUCUGCAAUCGACCCGGUCAUGGAGCAAUUAAUUGUUACAGCCGAUUCAACGCUCGUCGUUCCCCCCACUAACAAUCAGGGACCUGAGGCACAUUUGGGAGAAAAAGUAUCUAGACAAACUUGGCACUGUAGGUUGGGUACAUCAGAGAGCAGUGGAGGAACUAGUAAAUAAAAAUAUGAUCUCUACAAACUGUAAGAAUUCUAGUGUGUGUGAAUUCUGUUAUAUUGGCAAAAUUCCAGCCUUUCCACACAAAUCUAGUUCUACACUUUAUAAAAAUCCUUUUAUCAUUGAUUUUUGCUGAUAUCUGGGGGCCUGCCCCGUGUGUUUCAUUUGAGGGUUUUCGAUAUUAUGUGAAUUUUGUGGAUGCCAAGACUAAUUUCAAUUGGGUAUUUCCUAUCAAAUUGAAAUCACAGGUCGGCGAGCUAUUUCUAAGGUUCAAAACCUUGGCUGAAACUCAAACGGGGUAUUUGAUUAAAUCUUUUCAAUCAUAUAACGCCCUAGAGUUUAAAAAAUUAACAUCUGUCACUACAAAAAAAAGUAGGCAGUUAGAACAAACAAAGUUAACGAAAUUUCCGUUACAAAUACUAUUUUUAACGGAAAUUUCGUUCUUUGGUCUGAUACAAAAUUUCUGUUACAAAUACUUAAAUCCGUUACAAAUACUUUCAACCUAAAGUUAACGGAACGAAAAAUCCGUUACAAAUUCAAAAAAAAUUUGUAACGGAAAUUCCGUUACAAAAUCCGUUAUAAUUAUAAUUCAGAAUUCCAGUAUAAAUUCAUUAUCCGUAAAAAAAAAUUCCAGAAUCCUUGUAAAUUCAUUUAUAAUUUACAAUUCCAGUAUAAAUUCAUUAUCCUUGUAAAUUCAAUUCAAAAUCCUGUAAAUUCAUUCAAUAAUAUUCAUUCCAUUCCUGUAAAUUCAUUUAAUAUUCAACAAAUAUUCAAUUCAAUUAAAAACAUUCAACAAAUAUAACAUUCAACAAAUUUGACAUUCAAGAAAACUAACAUUCAACAAAACUAACAUUCAAGAAAACUAAUAUUCAACAAAAAUAACAUGGAAGACCUAUUUGGAUGGAGAAGUUUGAUAUCUUUGAUCGCUCUGACCUGCAUUAAUACUUUUAUCUUGCAACGAUCCACGAUCUGAAGGUUGUGGAGUUGUAUUUGAUUGGGAUAAAAUUGUUUUCUUCAGGUCUUCAAACAUAUCAAACAUUUUAUCAUAUUUCCUUUUUAAAACUCGAUUAUCCUGUAAAACAUUUAAGAUUCAUUGAUAUUUAUGUAUUACUUUAAAAUUUUAUUGACUAUCAUACACAUACCUCUAUUAACUCCUCCAUUUGAUCGUUCAUUUUUUCUUUUUCUUUUUCUUUCUCAAUAGAUCUUGCAUUCAUUUCAAUUGAAAAUCUGGUAGAAGUAGUGCUCGACUCAGCAAAUGAUCUUCCACUAAGUCCAAUGUGCCUCCCUUUUUUGCUUUGAAUAAAUUUUGAAAUGCAUUUUUGUUGAAUCACCUAUUAGCGAAAAAUAAUAUAUAAGAAAAUAAAACAUUUAAAUAAUUUGAAAUAGUAAAAUAUUUUAAAACAUACAUUUUCAUCUGUUGUUAGACGUAAUUCUUGAAUUUAAUUACUUUUGUAAUAUUCAGACACGUUUUUCUAUAAAAUAAGUAAUAAGCUAUGAGUAGAUUGAUAAAAUACUAAUUAUGAACAUUAUAAAAUAAACUAAGACUUACAACGACUUCGUUAUCAGUACCAGAAGAACGAAUCAAUACAUUGAUUCGUGAUGCCUCAUUGCCUUCGCGUUGCAGAUUUUCUCUUAUUGCACUGAAAGGAAUUGACCAUGUUUUAUGAUUUAGUAUCUUCUUAGUCCGGUUUGUUUUGGAAAUAUUUGGAAUUCGACAUCGUUUUUCUUGUCCAUAUAGUCAUCAACAGAUGGGACAUGUUGAACGUCGACAUCGGCAUCUAGUCGAUACGACCGUUAUAACUCUUCAACAUGCAUCCUUGCCCGACAAGUUCUGUGAUUAUGCAGUUAUGGCAGCAGCAUAUACGUAUAAUCGUAAUCCUACCAAGUUGUUGAAUGGAAAAUCUCUGAUUGAAUUACUUUUCGGAAGCUUACCGGAUUACACAAAAUUAAGGGUGUUUGGGUGCAAAAGUUUCCCGUGUUUACGUCCCUAUCGUAAUUCGAAGUUAGGACGCAAAUUGACUCUGUGUGUUUUUCUUGGAUACCCGACGAAUCAUCAAGGGUUCUUGUGUUUUGAUUCCACUUCCGGCAGGAUUUACACUUCACGAGAUGUCAGGUUUAUUGAAGAUGAUUUUACACUAAAUUCAGCACUUCAUGAAAUUGGUCAAGAUUGCUCACAAUCUGAGGGAAAUCAAUUCGUAUAGGGACUCAUCCGUCCAAUAUUGCUCCGAGCUCAUAAAUUGUUGAGGAGGCAAGUCCCAUCUCAUCAGGUGCACACGAUCAUGAAAGUUCAAGUGAGUCUUGUAAUGAGAAAAACUCGGCAAGUUCUGAUGAGGAUAAAGAAUAUAUAUCCAGUUGCAUCUUUAUCAGAUCAUGAAGAAUCUGAGCCGCAAGGUGCACAAUCUGAUUCGUCGAAAGAAGAACAAGUUGUUGAACCUCGCAGAACCAAAGCUCAACACGGCAUCUUCAAACCCAAUCUUCGGUUUGUGUUGAUUGCUACUUCAUCUGAAAUCACGGCACCAAGAUCGUCUAAGCAAGCAUUGCUAGUACCGGAGUGGAAAGAAGCCAUGUCGGAGGAAUUCUUAGCAUUAGAGAAGAACGAAACUUGGACCAUAAUUCCAAGGAAUUCAGAUGAUAAUAUAAUCAACUCGCUUUGGAUUUUCAAAGUAAAGCAACGGGAAGAUGGCUCGGUAGAAAGGCUUAAGGCAUGACUGGUGGUUAAUGGGCUUAGACAAAUAGAAGGUCUGGAGUACAAUGAGACAUUUAGCCCGGUAGUUAAACCAGUCUCGAUUCGGCUCGUCUUGACAAUUGCGGUGUCCAAUGGUUGGAAAUUAUUACAGAUUGACAUUUCCAAUGUUUUCUUGCAUGGAAAAUUAGAGGAACGCGUAGUAUUGACACAACCGAUUGGAUUCGUUGAUGAGGAAUAUCCAAUUCACACCACUACUCAAUUGCUUCAACUUGCAAGAUCACAUUAGCAGCAGCGUCGCACCUCCUCCAGUCAUGAUUGGAGAUACUAUGAAUCCUGCCUUCUCGAUCUGGUAGAAGAAGGAUCAACUUGUUCUAAGCUGGAUCAUAGCGUUCCUCACGGAAGAGGUUCUCUCGGUCGUAGUCGGACUUACAUCGGCGAGGGAGGUCUGAAAUGCGAUAGAGAUAAUGUAUGGAAAACCAUCCCAAUCUAGGAUUCUUCAACUCCAAAUGAAGUUCCAAACUUGAAGAAGGGAACUCAAUCGGUGAUGGCGUACCUUCGACAAGCGAAGUUGAUUUCCGAUGAGUUAACAUCUACUGGAAAUCCGAUUCCAGUACAUGUGUUCAAUGCCAUUGUUUUUAGAAACUUUGGGGGAAGGAUUUGAUGAAAUCGUAUCUGCUUGUUCUGUGAAAUCCGAUUCGAUGUCAUUCCCAGAACUUGUUGAUGUUCUCACUGGACACAAAGUCUAUCUCCAUCUUCGAUCGUCGAUCGUCGAUACCGCUGUGAAUCAAACUUCGGUCACCUCCAACACGCAACAUGCAACGAACGACUCCCGUGAUAGGUGCAACUUCUAUUGAAAUCGGGGACGAGGUGGAAAAUCUAUGCAAGCUGCCUCACAGAGAGAUUCGUGCCCUGUAUGCGGAUCUAUGGGCCAUAGUCCAUACAAGUGCCCACGCAGAUAUCAGGGGCCGGUCCAAUCAGAAGCAGGUUAUAAUACCUCAAAUAACUUUGGGGAUAAGGCUUUCAUUACAACGUAAACAGGUCCGGACUAUUCAUAGAUGAAAGAAAAUUAUAAUGGAGCUAAUGUGACUUGGUACCCGGACUCCGGUGCCACUCACCACACCACGCCUCAUGCCCAAUCCAUUCCUAAUCUUCAUCCUUACACUACCAGAUUACUGACUUUCAGCGACGGCCAGAAACCGUCUCUAAUCAUCAAAAACCGUCGCUAAUUGAUGAUUGGCGACGGUUUUUUGUCGUCUCUAAUCCUUCACCGAAAGUCGCCUCGCUGAUUUUUUAGAGACGGUCUUCAUAUCCGUCUAUAAUUAUUAGGGAAGGAUUAGAGACGGUAUUAGCCAUCGCUAAUUAAAAUUUAAGAUUAGAAAGGAUUAGGGCCAAGCCGUCGCUUUUUUUUUCCGUGCCAAUUUUUUGGUGUCUAAAAUUUUAUUGCCGUCCCUCGGCCGUCUCUAAUUUUCAAAAUAGCCCUCCCUGGGCCGUCUCUAAAUUUUUUUUUUUAACUUCCUGUUUCAACUUGCCGUCUCUAGGUCCUCUCUAAUUUUAUGUUUAGAACUUCCUUUUCAACUUGCCGUCUCUAGGGCGUCGCUAGACCCUCUCUAGUUUUUUGUUUAGAACUUCCUGUUUCAACUUGCCAUCGCUAAUUAAUAAGCUCGACAAAAUAUUUUUGCCGAAACUAAUGGAUGCUCUCUAGAAGCCUUACACAUGUCCAUUCUUGUACCUGAAAAUAGACAUUCAUUUACAAGCAAUUCAUACGAUCAUCCACAAGCAAUUUAAAAUUUAUACGAUCAUUCACAAGCAAUUCAUAAUUCAUACGAUCAUUCACAUUUUCAUUUAAAUUUACGUACAAUUCAUUCAAAUAUACAUUCGCAAAACAUUUAUUUCAACUUACAAAUUAAACAAAUUGUUCGAAGUACAAUUCAACUAUUUUUUUUUUAAUAUAGCAUCAAGAUCUAAAGGAGGAUUCAGAGGAUCCUUACUUGGAAUGAUCGCUUGACCCGUACUCGUGUUUGUGUUUUCCUCCUAAAAAACAACAAAAUAAUUUUGAUUGAUUAAGUUAAUGUUUAUACUAAAAAUUUUAGUAUCGAAUAACUUACUUCUAGAGUAGCGAUUUUGCCUAACAAGUAUGUUUGUACUUUUACCAUGAGCUCCAUUUGUUGGUUAAACGUCUCGAGUCUCUGGUUGACGACCGCGUUAACGGUUUUUUGAACACGAGUAUCGAAUUCUUCCUUUUUCUUCUUUUCUCUUUCUUCUUUUGUUAGGCGAUUUAUUUUGGCCUUGGAUUUCUUCGGCAUCAAUGAAUCGUCCCCUGGUCUCAUUCCGAGAAUACGUCCUUUCGUCUUGCCUCCUGAAGCCCUAAUCCAAGCUUCCAGACUGUCAUCAAUGAAUAAAGGCCUUUUUCGCUUUUAGGAUGUCGAUCCUUGCGUCGACAUUUCUUCUUCGUCUGUUGACUCCUCCUCUUCCUCGUCUUCAUUUAUUGAUUGUUGUUUAUCGAAAUGUUCCUUUUUGUACGUUUCGUAAUCCGACUAUUAUAAACAACAAAGAAAUGAAUUAGUAAUGAAAAAAAAUACAAAAUAUUGAUAAUUAAAUACGUACCAUUAGAGUCUUGCCUUUAUCAUUGAUCGGAUAAUGAAUGACCAUAAAAGAUUCUGUAAAUGAAGCUGGUCGACCGAGUUUCAAACUCUAUAUCAUGAAAAAAUGAUCAAUUACUUAAAAUAAAAAGUGAACCAAUUAGAUAUUAAAUAGUUUUACCAAUGACUGAGUGUUAGUUUCAACGGAUGCCGAUUCUCUUUUAUAGAGGAUGUUUCUUUCAUUGCUUGUGCGGUUUUCAAAAUUCUUUUUUGAUUUUUCUUGAAAUUCGCUUGACAAAAACUUCGUCAUCAUUCCUUUCCAUUAGUUCUUUCGCAGGUAUCCGGGAGAAAAAUUCUUGCAACUGUCGUCUAGGUGAUCCACACCUGCUAGCUUUUUCGCCUCUUCCCGAGCUUUAUUCAUCCAUUUAGGAUAGUUCAUUGUCAAAUAUUUGUCGAACGCGGUUCGAGCAUAAUCGUUAUCUUCGAAAUUGAAAAAUGUCUAAAAUCGAAAAAUAUGUUGUUAAUAUUUCUAAUUAAUUAGAAAAAUGAAAAAAAGAAAGUAGACCAAAUUGAAAGAGUACCAGAAAUUUAUUUCAGACUAGAGUCUUGUUCUCAUCACUCCAUUGAGCCCAAGAAAUCUCAUCUUCAGAAAUGUUUGGUUUAACUAUACAUUCGAUUUGUUUUCGGAUGUUGUUUGGGAAUGAUUUAUAUAGGUUGAAGUUUAUUAAUAUCUUAAAAAUAAAUAUAUUCAAUUUAAAAAUAGUUACCCACAAGCCAGUAUCUGGCUUUCAAAUGGUUUCGAGGGUUGGGGAAUUCCUUUCGAAAACGUUAUUGUUGAAAUUCUAGAAACAACCUCAUCAUUGUCAGGUUGUCCUCGUCCCCUAGAAGUACGUCCCCAUCCCCGUCCGAUUCUUCCACGUACCAUAUCUGAAAAGUAAAAAAUUUAAUCAAACAAGAUAACAUGAAAAUAAUAGAAGUAUAAUAAAAUAGAAUUACAAUUAAAUUAAAAACUCAUUUCAUUGUCAUCAGAUGAAUCAUUAUUAUCCGUACUAUCAUUAUCAUCACAACUAUGUUCAUUAUCAUUGUUACUGUCAUUGGUAUCAUUGUUCGAUUCUACGGUAAAUUCAUGACUACUCAGAGGGAUAUCAUCGAUUUGGUUGUCAUUGUUGAUGACGUUCAUAUCGUAUUCGCUGAAAUCGUCUUGAUAUGUAUCCAAAUCUUUUUUAAAAAUAUCAAUUAUAUCUCGAGCUUUCGUUCUAAGGACCGUGUGCCAAUCGUUAGAUUUUCCAGAAACACUCAGCAUGUAACACACUUGGUCGGAUUGCCAUGCGAAAAUGAAAGGUUCGUAUGCUCUGAGUUUAGAAUGUGUAUUGAUCGUCACCGUCUUGAAUUUAUCAGUUUUAAUACCCUUAUGAAUAUCAAACCAUACACAUUUGAACAUAGAAAAUUCGAGUGUCAUCGCCAAGAAAAUCAAGUUCUACAAUUUUUUCAAAAACCCCGUAAUAGUUAUUUUCAUUAUCUCCAUAUGAAGAAGAUCCUCGAACCAUUACGCCACAGUUCUGUGAUGUCUUAUUCUCAUCUUCGCUUUUUGAAUGAAAUCUAAAUCCAUUUACAAUAUAUUUCUUAUAAGUAACAAUUUCUUUACUCGGAUCUCUUGCAAAAAUACGUAGACGAGUGUCUUCAACAUCAUUCAUUUGAUUUUUGAACCAUUGAUGAAAUUCUGAAUCAGUUUUCUGUUGCAAUUCUUCGUCAGACAUGUUUGGGUAUGUUUCCAACAAUUCUUCUUCAAAUUUUCUAACUAACGGUUCCACUUCAUCGUAAUUGAAGAGCACGUAUAUCAUUAUGGCAGUGUAUUCUCUAUCUUCUAAAUAUCUACGGUCACCACCUCCUAAGGCAUGACCUUGUUGAGCGACUAUCAACAAACGACCAACAGAUUCAAUUACUCCACCGUCAAAGUUUCUCGAUUUUCUGCUAAAUCUCGAUACGAAUGUACUGUCAAAGUACAUUGAGUAAAAUGUGUAUAGUUCGUCAGCAAUGUAAGCCUCCGCAAUAGACCCUUCGACAUAUGCCUUAUUGCGAACUUUCUUUUUCAAGAAAAACAUAAAUUUUUCCAAUUUACAGAUCGUCUCCACAAUGGACUCUCCAAGUUUUUUCAUGUCAUUUACUUUUACUGUUGGAGAACAUAUAUUGGUAAAAAAAUGACUGACCUCUGUAAUAACAUUGAUAAACGCUCUUUCGGCAGCAUAUCAUUGAACGCAAUAGGUAACAAUCUCUGCAUGAGCACAUGACAAUCAUGACUCUUCAUUUCUGAAAUAAUAUUCUCACCUGGUUUCACACAUUUCGAAAUAUUUAACACAUAACCAUCGGAAAAUUGAAGAUGUGUCACCCAUUCGCAGACUUUCUUUAUUUGAAUUUUGUCCAAAACAUACGACGCUUUCAGAACUACUACCUUUUCUCCCACCUUCCUGUUGGAUCGAGAUUCGAGGCUAUAAGGGGGGAUAAUAGCCUCUUUUCGAUUAAUGCAAGUUAAUAGCGGAAUUACCUGCACACACUUAAGUACACAAAUGGUUGUAUAAUAAUAAUAGUAUAAUAUUGUUAGCAAUAUAAUACUAUUAUAUAAUUUUAAAGAAUAUAAUAUUAUAUCUUAUAAUAUUAUAUAUUGGACUUGCCUUUUGCUCUUUAAGUUUAAUACAGUAUAUGAAUACGUAGUCAACUUUUCAGAUGGUGUUUUAUAAACAACUAUAGUAUAUGAAUACUAAGUUAUAUUAUAAACACAAGUUAUAUUAUAGAGUAAAUGACCAGAUAACUGGAUAUAUUGAUAAGCAAGUAAAUGACCAGAUAACUGGAUAUAUUGAUAAACAAGUAGAUGACCAGAUAACUGGAUAUAUAUGAUAAGUAAAUGCUUGAACAAAUAUGAAUAAAGCAAUGAAUAUAACCUCAGAUGGUUGACCAGAUAACUGGAUGAGGGAUCUGCGUAAAGUAGUCAACCUCUGUAUUUGACCAGAUAACUGGAAGAGGGAUCUUUUUAAUUAAGUGUUGUUUUUAGAUAAAAGAUAAAACUAUAAUUAACAGAGAACAACACAAAAGAUUUAUACUGGUUCACCCAAACAAGGGCUAGUCCAGUCCCGACCAACUGCCGAAAUUCACUCGCCUAAAGGUAAUGGCAAAACCUUAGAGUAUCAAGGAAACUCUUAAGAACCUCUCUAAGCUUUAAGGCUACUUCGCUUAGGAACCAGUCUUUUACGGGUAGAUUCACACCUUAGAGUAUCAAGGGCACUCUUAUGAACCUCUAACUUUUACGGGUAAGUUAGUACCUUAGAGUAUCAAGGAACUCUUAAAAACCUCUCUAAGCUUUAAGGCUACUUCGCUUAGGAACCAGUCUUUUACGGGUAGAUUCACACCUUAGAGUAUCAAGGAACUCUUAAAAACCUCUCUAAGCUUUAAGGCUACUUCGCUUAGAAACCAGUCUUUUACGGGUAGACUCACACCUUAGAGUAUCAAGGGCACUCUUAAGAACCUCUAACUUUUACGGGUAAGUUAGUACCUUAGAGUAUCAAGGAACUCUUAAAGACCUCUGAAAUCUUUAAAGGUAGACUCAACCUAAGAGUUUUUCCGGAAACUCUAUAAAACCAAACUAGAGCUUUAUGGUUGAGCUCACAAACAUUCUCUAACACUUUGGUACUAUUGAGACAACCCUCUCAACCAAAGUGGACACACACAAGAGGUGAUUAGAGGAGUGGAAUAUUAAAGCAAACAACACUUCUUACUUGUAAAGAUGAACAAGAAGAUUAGAAGAAGAAGUUGGAGGGCUUUUGAAGCUUUGGAAAGCUAGGACACUUGAGCACUUGAAAGCUUGGAAGCUUGGAGGCAAAAACGUGUGGGCAAGUGUGGAGUGAAAGCUCUUGAGUUUGCUUGUAGUGUGGUGAGUGAAAAUGAGGGGAUUACCCUUCUAUUUAUAGCCUUGGCCACUCAAUGUCCACCCUUGGAUCUUCAAUGGAUGGCUCCUUGAUUUCUCACAUAAAUCCAAGCUUUGUCUUUGAUCUUAUUUUGAAUAGUGUUUUUCUUGGAUAGAGUUUGUUGGAAAAUCUUAUCUUUGUAUAAAUUCAACCAUGAAUAGUGUUUUGUCCCCUUGGAAUAUUAUACCUUGAAUAAAGUGUCAAAAGAUAAUAAUAAUAAUAUUCAAGGUAAAAAUGCAAUUAUUCCAAAUAAUAAUUUUCAAGGUGAAAAUGCAAUUAUUCCAAAUAAUAAUAUUCAAGGUGAAAAUGCAAUUCUCCCAAUUUGACUUUUAACUUUGACUUAAACCCUUAACUCAAAUGAUUAAUUAAUUAACUGGAGUUAGGUUUAAUAUCGAUUGACUUAUUUAACCCCUAUUGAUUAAUAGUGUAAUUAGGGUUUAAAUUGACAUGAUUAAAAUAUAAUCCUAUGUCGACAAUUUUGAUUCUACACUUCCGAGGGUGUAAGUCAUGGCAAAUAUCCAAUUGCAUUAAAUCGUUGCGACUUUUGAGGUUAUCUUUGGUUUUCAUUUUAACAUUCAUAACUGUAUUAAAAAUAUUGUCGAAAACAUUCUUUUCAACAUGCAUAACGUCAAUAUUAUGACGAAAAAGCAAACUAUUCCAAUAUGGUAAUUCGAAAAAUAUACUUCUCUUUGUUCAAUUGUGCGUCUUUCCAAAAUUUUGUAACUUUCUUUUAUCAUUAAAUCUACUGAAAAUAACAUCAUCCUUUACUAGACUAUUUGGUGGAUUGAAUCAAACUGGAUUGAUUUAUUUUCAAAUACAUGUUCUCAAUUUAUACAAGUUUAUUUCUUAUUAAGAAUAACUGAUUCACAACAGAUCAAUUAUCCUUUAUACCUCCUCCCUUAAGCUCUUGGAUUUAUUCCAACGAGCUUGAUUUGUAAAUUUAGAAAUUGUCUUGUUGGUAGAGGUUUUGUCAAUACGUCCGCCCAUUGGAUGAUCCCGGGAAUGUAUUCCACUGAAAUCUCCCCAUUUUCUGUCUUCUCCCUUACGGUCUAUUACUACAUAUUUAAGUUUGCAAUAUCCGAUUGGAUUCUUUGAAAUAAACGUUGCACCUAAGUUAUCUAAGAGUAUUUUGAUUGGUUUCGGUGUUGAAACUCUUGGCUCAAAUAGCAUUGACCGCACUGCUUCAACUUCUUGGGUAGUUAUGGCGAUUGCGCUAUAUUCCGCUUCCGUACUUGAUCUGGCUAGAGUACUCUGCUUGCGAGAAAUCCACGAUACUAAAGUUCCACCCACAAAUACAAGAAUUACCCUGUUCGACUUUUUCUAUCCGAUGUGUCUCCACCCCAGUCCGAAUCGCAAUAUGCAGUUAUGUUGAAUUGUUCUAUCUUGCGUAUCGUAAUCCCAAGCCUUUGGGUUCCCGAGAGGUAACGUAAUACUCAUUUGACUGAUGUCCAAUGUGUCGGCUUUGGGCUCGCCAUGAAUUGAGAAAGAAUGUUAACCGCAACCUGAAUAUCGGGCCUGGUCAUUGUAAUAUAUUGUAACGACCCUAUGACACAACGAUAUUCUCGUGCGUUUUCGAUUGGUCCUCAUCGGAGGUGAACUGAAAAUCUACAGCCAUCGGUGUUGUUGAAGGUUUAGUAUUCUCCAUACCGCAUCUGUUUUAAUAGGUUUGCAAUAUAUUGGGGUUGAGCCAAGUGUAUCCCGUCGUCAAAGUAUGUAACCUGGAUCCCUAAGAAGAACCUGAGAUCUCCGAGUAUUCUUAGUGGAAAUUCUUCUUUUAAUUGCGUUAUUAUUUUUCCGACUUCCAAUUCGUCUGAUCCUGAAAUUACAAUAUCGUCAACAUAGACGAAUAAGUAAGCUAUGAAUUUUUCCUGUUGAAGAAUGAACAAUGAGGGAUCUAUAGCGGAUUCUUUAAACUUCAAGUCGACGAGAAAUUUUCUUAGUCUCUGAAACCAGCAUCGAGGCGACUGUUUCAGCCCAUAGAGUGAUCUGUGAAGGAGACAGACGUGAUCGGGCUUGCUUGGAUCUAUGAACCCAAAUGGUUGUGAUACGACGAUUCUUUCUUUUAAUUCACCGUGUAGGAACGCAUUUGAGAUGUCAAUCUGAUGCAUUUUCUAACUUCUUGAUAUAGCAAUCAAUAGCACUAAUCUUAUUGACAGAGGGCACACAACCGGACUAAACGUAUUCAUGUAGUUGGCUCCGUAAAUUUGUCUCAUCCCAUUUACCACAAGCCUUGCUUUGAAGCGUUCGACCGACCCAUCCUCCGUUGUUUUAACCUUAAAUAUCCAUUUGGUAUUAAUAACAUUGUCUCCUAUUUCACGUUCAACUAAGGUCCAAGUACUAUUUCGUUGCAAAGCUUCAAAUUCAUCUGUCAUUGCUUUUUCCAGUUUGCAUCUGAAAUUGCGAUUCUUGCCGAUUUGGGUGUUUGAAUGUCGGAGGGUGCGAUGGCCAGAGCGUAUUUCGGAUUGGAUUUAUAGAUUCUAUCCGAUGCUCUGGUUCUCAUUCGUUCAUUUAUUGGUGCCUCACUUCCAGUUUCUGGAUGAUCUUCUCUGUCUUCGUCUGCGUCGAAGUCAUCCGAGAUUGAUCUGAAAGUUGGUGAUACUUCUAUUGUGUUCUGAAGUUUGUUCUCCGGCGAGCCCUUUUCUUUGUUGAAGACGACGAUGGCUUGGGUCUCCGUUCUAUUAUUUGGAUCAGCAACUUCUGGAAUCGGGUCAUGCGUCGGGUCUGAAGUUGGAGCUAAAAUCGGAUCUGAAACCGGUUCAACAACCACCGGAACUGGGUCAGAAGUCGGGUCAGGAACCGCCGGAACCAAGUCAGCAUGCGGGUUAUAAGCCGGGUCAGGAACCGUUGGAGCCAGGUCUGCCCUUGGGUCUUGAAUCGGGUCCUCAUCAUUAUUGGGUCGGAUAAUUCCUAAUUCUUGAAUAACUGUUGAAUCUUUAAUUUCGGAUUUGCUGUUUGGGCCCAAGUAUUUUAAUUGAGUUGUAUGUUGAAUAUGAUCCAUAAUACCUGUACAAUUUUCUCCCUGAUCCCCAUAGUGUUUUAUAUUCAUGGAAAAGUCGUCCUCGUUAAAAACUAUAUCUCUGGAAGCAAAAACUUUCUGAGUAGCUGGUUCUAAACACAGAUAAUAGUUUUAUGCCAUUGAAUACCCUACAAAGAUGCAUUGUGCAUAUUUUGCGUCCAGUUUGUUCUUGCGAUAUGGCCGGAGACACGGAUAGCAAGAGCACCCAAAAAUUUAAAACGAUCAUACUCUAGUGAUUUUUGAAAUAAGACCUCUAUUGAUGAUUUGUUGUUAAAGAUGGGUGUUGGGUUCCGAUUAUACAAAUAACUCGCGGUGACAACUCCGAAAUUCCAAAAACUAUUUGGAAGAUUUGAGUGUCGUAAUAGAGUAACUGUUGUGUCAAUCAAAUGCCGAUGCCUAUGCUCUACUAGAUCCAUCUGUUGAUGUGAAUAGGGUGCAGAGAGACGAUGUGAAAUUCCCAAUUCCACCAACCGUUUUCCCAGUUUUAGAAAUUCUUUUGCGUUAUCUGUUUGAACUGCUAAAAUUUUUUUUUCGCAUUGUCGUUCUGCCCAUGUUCUAAAUCUUUCGAAAAUCCUAUGAAUAUCGAAUUUUCUUGUCAUUGGAAACACCCAGUUAAAAUUGCUCCCGNNNNNNNNNNNNNNNNNNNNNNNNNNNNNNNNNNNNNNNNNNNNNNNNNNNNNNNNNNNNNNNNNNNNNNNNNNNNNNNNNNNNNNNNNNNNNNNNNNNNCCAAAUAUCAGAAAAUAUCAAAUCCAUCGGUUUAUAUAUUGUUUUGCGAGUGGGAUGUGGUAGAGCAUGAGAUUUCCCAAAUUGACACGAUUUAUAGACGAUCAAUGGUUUAGAAUUUGUUUUUAUUAUUCCUUUCUUCUCAAGACUCAACAUAUAUUUUGAAUUUAAAUGACCAAGUCGGCAGUGCCAUUUGAAAUGAUCUAUUUUCUCGUAAUUAUUUAUGGAUCCCCUGUUCCAUUUAGUGCUCAUCGGCAGCUCAUAUAAACCAUCACAAACUCCUCCUUCCAGCAUGAUUUAUUUAGUACCCAAAUCGUGCACCCGAACUUUCUGCGCAUCAAAUAAAAUGGAUACAUUAUUAUCAAGACACAACUUAUUUACCGAGAUUAAAUUUCGUGUUGUUGUAGGAACAAGCAACCGAUCAUGAAGAAUACAAGUUGACCCGUUUGUUUCAAUUGUACUCUGACCUGACCUUGUAAUCAACAUUGGUGUACCACAUGCUGUACAAAUAGAAUCUCUACCAGUAUAUAUUUGUGAAUGCUGAAAAUUUUCACCUGAGUUGAUAAUGUGGGAUGUGGCCCCUGAAUCAGGGUGCCACAUGGUCAUCACCUCAUUUGCAUUGUGUGCCACCGUGUUCACAGACCCACGUUUUCCACCAAACGACCCAUUAGGCCCAUUUGCUGAUAGAGUGCGGCUAUGAUUUGGGGGAAAUUUUAUCAAGUUUAUUCAGUUGUAGCAGUCGAUCGCGGCAUGCUCCUUGCGAAGACAAAUCUGACAGCGCACGUCGAAUCUGGAGGAUGUGUUUGUUUUUGUUGCUAUAUUUAAUUCCCCAACCUCAACUGUUUUGGGGGUGACCUGCCUUGAACUCAUCCUCAAAUCUUGAUCCAUUAGCAUCUCUCCCAAUUGUGAGAACGUGAGAUAUGGAUCGUAGCGAGUUGUGACAGAGGUGACAAAAACCUCGUACUCGUCGUUCAAGCCUUGGAGAGUGCUUAACACGACCUCAGACUCCUUCAAAUUUUCACCGGUGGCUGUCAAUGCGUCCCUGAUCACAACAAUUUUGGCGAUGUAAUCCUCCAUGGACAGCAUGCCUUUGAGGAUCGAUUGCAGCUGAAGCCUAAGGUGCAUCUAUCUGUCCUGCGUUCUAGAUGCGUAGAGCCACUGAAGCCCUAACCACGCGUCGGCCGAGGUGCGAUGAGAUUCUACUUGUGGGACAAUGAUCGUUGAGACUCUCGUUAAAAUCCAACUUAGGAUCAGUUGAUCCUGUUGGAUUGUUUUCGGAGAGGACAGAACGAUGUCGUCCCUGACAUACCCGAUCAGAUCGAAGCCUCUCAACAUAGAUGAAAACUGAGUCUCCCAAGAAAAGUAGUUAUUUUGGUCGAGAAUGACGCAUCUGAAGGGUUUUGUCACAACUUUAACCGGUCUGGCCGGAUUUGCAGCGGAAGAUGCUGUCGGACUUGUCGUCAUUGGAGAAGGAAAACUCGAUCUUUGCUUCUUCGACGAUUGCAGAAGAUACGAAUCACGGAAGAGGAUCGCGAUUUGCGGAAGAUUGCGAUUUGCGAAGAUUGCAGAUCGCGAUUCCAGAAGUAGCAGAUUUGCGAUUGCGGAAGUAGCAGAUUUGCGAUUGCGGAAGUAGCAGAUGUGCGAUUGCGGANNNNNNNNNNNNNNNNNNNNNNNNNNNNNNNNNNNNNNNNNNNNNNNNNNNNNNNNNNNNNNNNNNNNNNNNNNNNNNNNNNNNNNNNNNNNNNNNNNNNAGUAGCAGAUUUGCGAUUGCGGAAGUAGCAGAUUUGCGAUUGCGGAAGUAGCAGAUGUGCGAUUGCGGAAGUAGCAGAUGUGCGAUUGCGGAAGUAGCAGAUUUGCGAUUCCGGAAGUAGCAGAUUUGCGAAAGAUUGCAGAUCGCGAUUCCGGAAGUAGCAGAUUUGCGAUUCCAAAAGUAGCAGAUUUGCGAAGAUUGCAGAUCACGUUUGCGGAAGUAGCAGAUCGCGGAAGAAGCGUUUGCGGAUGAUUGCAGAUUGCGAUUCCAACGGCGGAAAUAGCGGGUCGCGAAGGUCUGAAAAUUAUCAAGAAAUUCCCAAUGAUCACCUAGCUAACUGAUACCGUACUAGACUAUUUGGUGGAUUGAAUCAAACUGGAUUGGUUUAUUUUCAAAUACAUGUUCUCAAUUUAUACAAGUUUAUUUCUUAUUAAGAAUAACUGAUCCAUAACAGAUCAAUUAUCCUUUAUCCUUCAAUGGCAAACAUGCUUGAAUUUCUAAUCCUUGAAUACGUUCAAUUGGAUCAUCUUUUUCAAUUCUUUUUAAAAAAAUUUCUUUCUACCGUCGAAAUAAAUGAUUUGCCGGAAGAAAUCGACGAUGACAAUCAAAAUAACAAGGUUUUCCACUAUGAGUCAGAUAGAAAGAUUUUGUCUCUUCCAUGUAAUACUGACAUGCUAACUUUCCAUGUGUACUCCAACCGGAUAAUAUGGCAUAAGCUGGAAAAUCGAAAAUAGUUCACGAUAAUUGGCCAUAAAGAAUAUCGUGAAGAAGAAUGACCGAAUGGAUUGAAUCCAUCUGUAGAAAGACCGAGUCGCACAUUUCGACCAUCAGAGGCAAAUGAAGGAUAAGUACUGUCGAAAUGUUUCCAAGCUUGACCAUCAGAUGGAUGUCGUAGCUCAUUGGGGACAUCUUAAUGACGUGUACUAUGCCAUACCAUUUCUUUGGCAAUCUUCGAACAAUGAUACAAUCGUUGUAGUCGAGGUAUUAAAGGAAAAUAAUGAAAAAAUUUCACAGAAAUAUCACGACCACCACUUGUUCUGGUCUUAUAUCUAGGUUCAUAACAUGUCGUACAUUUGUUUAAAUCUUUGUAUUCUUUUCGAUACAAUAUGCAAUUGUUCGGACAUGUAUCGAUUUUCUCAUGUCCCAAUCCAAGGUUUUUCAUUUUUUGUUUCGCCUUAUAAAAUGUAUCUGGAAGUUUAUUCGAUUUUGGUAACACCUUCUGAAUAGUCUUCAUUAAUGUAUCAUAGCCUUCCACAGAAAGUUCAUACGUUGAUUUAAGAUACAUCAAUUCGGUUAAGAUCUCCAAAAUCAAUGUUUGACAACCCUCGUAUACUUUUUCAUGACCAGAAUUCAGAAGAUCGUAAAAUUUUUUAGCUUUAACAUUCGGUUCUUCAUCAUACAAAUCAAUUGGCCUACUUGCAUCGUGGACCAUGUCAACAGAUGGAUUAGUAUUCUCGACCAUGUCAACAUCAUAAGUGGUGAUGCAAACUUCAACACGUGGUUUCUUUUUUGGUUUACCAUGUUUAUCCCAAUUCGUUUAGCCACUCCUGAAACCGAAUCUGUAAAGAUGAACUCCCAUCGUAUCUUGAUCUUGCUUACUUAAGCAACAACAUUGACCACAAGGACAUUUAAUCUAUCCCCUUUCACCAAUGGAGCUAGAAUUGGUGAAGGCAAAAUUCAAAAAUUCACGGACACCCUCAACAAAUGAGUCGGUGAUCUGUCUCUUAUUAUCUAAUUUCUUGUACAUCCAACUUCGAUCGUCGUCGAUCAUUCUACAAAACAGAUAGAAAAUACGUACUUAGUUUUUAAAUGCACGUAUACGACAUAAUUCUACUUAAUGGCAAUCUAAAUUUUGCCAUAACCUUAUUGUAAUUUCAAUUCCACUAUAAUUUAGCUAACCUAAAUAAAUAAUUUCAUUCAAUAUAUAAUAGAAAUAUUUCAUUCAACUAAAACAAAAUUCAUAGUUACCAAAACAAAAAUUUCACAUAAGUUUACUAAAUUAUUGUUCGACUAACUAUAAUUAUCAUUGACACUCACCGCAUCGCUGUUUUCGACGGAUUCAUCGUUGCUAGGAAUUACUAUAGUAUUCGGAUAGUUGGACGUAACCGAAACUUCAGAAACCGAGAAAGAUUAAAUAAUUAUUUCUUUUAAUUCGAGCUCAGAAAGUAUAAAAAACUAAAAAAAUAUUAAAUUUAGAGAAAAUGGAGGUGUAGCACAGAUGGUAAAACAUUUGUCAAGCAUGUGAGAGGUCUCGGGUUUGAUCCUCCAUGUCUCCAAGUAAAAAUUUCUUUUAAUUCUCGAGAGCGACUCGCUCUCGAGCCCGAGCUCAGAUGAUAUCUUAACGAGCCGAGCCUGAGCUCGGCUUUAUAAGCAAAAGCUCGGUUCGACUCGUUCGACACCCUAGCUGCACUACUGUCCAGGUAAGAAAAUUCAUUUUUUGAACAGAACUAUAGAAGAUUCCCAUUUAAAUCUAGAUUAAAUUAAUCAAUUAAAUUAAAUCUAGAUUUUGAAAGAAAAAAGUACUGUUUUCAUUUUUUUAUAGGGAGAAGAGUUAAAAAAUCAAUUGGUGCCCCUGCGUUCAUCGAAUGCAGUUCAAAAACUCAACAAGUUUGUAUUUUUGUUUAUAACUUCAUUGAACGAGUUGCUAAUGUAUCUGUAAUUUUUUGAUUGGAAAAAGUAACUAGAAAAGUCACUCGACACUUGGUAGUGAUGAGGAUGAACAGGGACUACAUGUUGAAAAGGAAAUAUCAACUCUAUUUAACACUCGAUAAACCACCCAGUUUUUUAUAGAGAAAUUUAAAGUUUUUUACAUUUUUAUUUUGUGAACCGAUUCCUUCUCAAAUUUGUUUAAUCGCUAUUUGGGCACAGAAGGUUAAGGAUCACUUAAACAGGACAAAGAACAUUUAAGAAAAAAUCUGUCGAUGUUCUAUUGUAAGAAUCUCCUCGGGCAGGGUACGAUAAGUUAAGCGGUUUCUUGAUUUCAGUUGGGUUUAUAAUAUCGACAUCAGAUUUGUCGAUGUUCUAUUAGAGAAACAAGGACAGUUGCAUGUUUAUCCUCGUCUACGUCGAUGAUAUUAUUGUCACCGGAUCCUCCAACAUUCUCAUAAAUAAUUUGAUAAGCAAGCUUGUAGCCAAGUUCCGGUUGAAAAAUAUGGGGAAGUUGAGAUUCUUCCUUGGAAUGGAACUUACCGAAUUACAGUCCAGAUGUGUUCUUCUAUCUCAACAAAGAUACAUAUCUGAUCUAUUACGGCAAACGGACAUGGAUUCUUUUAAACAGAUUCUUACUCCGAUGGUUUCAACAAUGAAACUUAACUCCACCGAAGAUACUCCAUUAAUAGAUAAGUUUUCAUAUUGAUCUACGAUUGGAUUCCUUCAAUAUCUUGUGCAUACAAGGCCUGAGAUCACGUAUGUGGUAAAUAAAUUAUGUCAAUAUCUUCAAAAUCCUACAUCCAUGCAUUGGGCGGAAACUAAGAGGGUACUAAGGUAUCUCAAAGCACUACAAGAAAAAGGCUUUUUUGGGACCAACCAAGUUGGUCGCAAAAAGGCAUAAGUUGGUCGCUUAUAGAAAAAGCGACCAACUUUUUGGUCACUACGUUAGUCGCAAGAAACCCCGUCUCUAGUGAUCUAUAACUAUAAACGACCAACUUUUUGAAUUGGUCGCUUGAAGGUGACCAACUUGGUUGAUCGCUCAAUAAAUCUAAAUCUGAUCAAAUUUUUGGCACCAACAUAAGGGCGACUAAUUUGGUUGGUCCCAUAAAUUUGGCACCAACAUAAGGGUAAUCAACUUAGUUGGUCGCAAAAAUUUGACGCCAACAUUAGGGCGACCAACUUGGUUGGUCCCAAAAAUUUGGCGCCAACAUAAGGGCGAUCAACUUGGUUGGUCGCAAAAAUUUAGCGCCAACAGAAGAGCAACCAACUUGGUUGGUCCCAAAAAAUUGGCGCCAACAUAAGAGCAACCAACUUGGGCGGAAACUAAGAAGGUACUAAGGUAUCUCAAAGCUAGGUAAAUGUAAUUAUGGAUUGCUAUUUAUACCGUCAUCAAUGAUAGAUAUUGUCACAUACACAGACACCGAUUGGCUUGGGUCUGUGGAGAAUCAAAGAAGUACUAGUGAAAUCGCUAUCUAUUUUGGUAAGAAUCUAGUGUCUUGGGCUGCAAAGAAACAAAAUUCGGUAUCAAGAUCGUCAACUGAAGCCGAAUUCCAAGCAAUCUCAGAUGCAUGCCCUAUUGACGACGACGGUCGAACUAGUGGGAGAAUGACAAACCGAAAACAAUUUCCGGUGGGAGAUGGGGAUGGGAGUUUUGGCCAAAAAAAAUUCCAGAAUGUAUUCUAUAUUUCUAUUGCAUAUAUUGCUGUCAAUAUUUUUUCCUAUAAAAAUAAAUCAUAUAAUAUUCAUAAUUCACAUUCAAAAUUCAAUAUUACUCACUAAAUUAAUUCAACAUUAAUGAUUAAAAUCAUUUAACAGUCAACAAAUAUGACAUAUUGUCCCUAACACAACAUUAAUUCAAUGACAUCAUUAACAUCUUAUAAAUUUCUAAAUAUCUAAAAUUGAAAGAGAAUUCAUAAUUAAUAUUCAUACUUAAAAUUUUGAUCAUAUUUGUUAUUCAAAUUUCGAUUAUCAUGUAAAACAUUUAAGAUUCAUUAAUAUCUAUGUAUUACUUUAAAAUUUCAUGUAUUAUUCAUUAUUCACAUACUUCUAGUAACGUCUCGAUUUGAUCAUUCAUUAUUUCUUUUCUUUUUUCUUUUUUCUUUUUCACGAUUUCGUACAUUCAUUUCAACUGAAAAUCUUGUAAAAACAGUGCUUGACUCAGUAUAUAAUCCUCCACCAAGUCCAAUGUAUCUUCUAUUUUAACUUUUGAUGAUUUUUUCAAUGCAUUUUUGUUGAACCACCUAAAAGAAAAAAAUAGCAUAUCGUUGUUGUCCGUAAUUGUUGAAUUUCAUCACUAUUGUAAUAUUCAAGCAUGUUUUUCUACAAAAUAAGUAAUAAGCUAUAUGAGUAGAUGAAAUACUAAUUAUGAACAUUAUCAAAUAAAAUAAGACUUACAAAUUACAAGGACUUCGUUGCCAAUACUAAAUGAAUGAAUCAAUGUAUUGAUUUGUGAUACUUCAAUCCUUCGCGUUCUAGAUUUUCUCUUAUUGCACUAAAAGGAGUAGACCCUAUUUUGUGAUUGAUUGUCUUCUUAGUCCAGUUUAUUUUGUUUAUUUCUGAAUUUUUCUGCAAAUUAAUAUACAAUGUUAUAAAACUUACAAUAAUAUCAAAUAAUUAAAGUAUGAAUAUAUGGAAUUUUCUUUUAGAUAAUUUGAUAUGUCCUCGUUGGCUGGCGAUUCAACGGACGGAGAGAUUAGGAGUAUCUGCAAUGAUUUGCUAACUCUAACAGAGGAAAAGAAGGGAAAAAUCACGUAUAUGAAAGAGGUCUUGAAGGAUGUUGUGAUAGUACUAACAAAAGAAAAUGAAGAUUCCCAUAAUAUGUGGCAAAUUGGGUCUAUAACUAGGUUCGAAAAGCCGAACUUACGGACCUGUGUGUGAGGGUAACCCCAAGGUUGCAAAAACCAAAGGUAGCGAGAGAGAAUAACCAGAGAAAUUCAUUUCACGAAGGGAGACAAUGAUACUGAAGGUGUGACCAUGUUCUUUACACUACAAGAAACUGACGUUUUGGCAAAAAUUUGCGACCCACCAGGUUGGUCGCCAUUUUAUCUCGGUCGACAGAAGUGGGGUUGGUCGUAAUUUUUUUCAGUCCAAAACAUCUAGGUGACCUAACUAGCUAGGUUGGUCGUAAAUUUUUUAAUUGAAAAAAAAGUUUGUUUUUAAUGAGUGUCUGAUCGGACCUUGCAAAACCCCGCACCUGUGAACCUGUUACAAUAAGAAAUACAUUCAUUCAUCUAACAUAUAUAUCAUUCAUCCAAUAUAAUCGAUCAUUCAUCCAACAUAUAUAUCAUCAUCCAAUACAAUCGAUCAUUCUUCCAAAAUAUAUAUCAUCAUUGAUCCAACAUAUAUAUCAUUAAAGAAAACAUCUAGUGCGCCGAGGCAUAUAUGCGUCAUCGUGCGCUGAGGCCUCGGCCUUCUAGCAUUUCCUAUCCAAGGGUUUACAAUCUGUCCUGCUAUUUUCAGCAUCCUUGAACUACCGUUGGUGAAGAUUUCGAGGUUGGUCGACAUUCUGCUGAUGGAAUUUCCAUCAAAAUACUAUUCAUCAUUAUUGUUUUUUUUUCAUCUGUUCCUCUACUAUUAGUUUUUCUUAUAUUUUUAUAUUGCUAAAUGAGUAUUUUCGUGACUUAUCAUGGUGUGUACUUGUACUACGUUAAUGUAAUAUUGUAAACGUGUAGUCGAAUUCCACAACACAAGGAUUAUUUUAUUGAUAUUGGAAUUCACAAAAUGACAAAAGCUAAGGAACUGAAUAACUAAAGAGAGAUGCGGCAGAGUCCAGAAUCGCGAUAGCCGACGUCGGGAGGGAAUCGCCGAGGAAGAAGAUAUGAGGAGGAAUAACGAAAAGGAGGGUUAGGUGGAGACAGGGAACGGAAAGGAGAAGUGGUAGUGGGGGAGUGAAAGGUACCUGGAAUAAUUCGUUAAAUGCUUGCCUUCUUAGGAGGAGGUGCUGUCCUCUUUAUAGUGCGUUGGGUAGCACUCGAGACCCAUGUAGUCUGUUGGGGUGGGGCUGCAACGUUGGGCUGGAUUACAUCAUAUGUCCUGUAGAUACUUUUUCCACUGUACAACUGUUCAUAAAGUCCACUGUUGUUGAUAGUUCUCGCCGCCUUUUCGUCUCUGCCCUACGUUGACAGUACAAUCUGAACUACCAAAAAAAAUCUAAUCUUCUCAUUUUCAACGAACAUCAUAUGAAACUCAAAAACUAACCUUCUAAUAUUCAACGGACAUCAUAUUAAAGUCCUGUUUAUCAUAAUUGUGAUAGUAAUUAAAUUAUUUUCUCCAUGUCUAUGUAACACUAUUCAUGAUGUUUUUAGGUCAGGCUAAGCCAUCGGUCCUACUUCACAAUCGCGGCAGAACUACCUUCUAAGACUUUUUAAUAGCUAGCAUCUACCUAUUUAACAAUAGAAAAUACUAACUUCUAUUAAUAUUUAUCAACCAUGUCAGAACAUCAAGUACGAAACGGCAUACAACAAGUCGGACGAUUGAGAUCAAAUGGCGCAUUUAGCGCAAAUUCGUUUUGGUGCACCUGAUGUUGUCCUUAUAUCAUCAUUCAUCUAACAUAAAUUUAAAUCGAUCAUUCAUCUAAUACAUUUACUAAAUCAUCGAUAUAUUCAUUUAUCAUUUUUUUUACUUCUAAAAAAUGAACUUAAAAAAGUUCCUAAGUCUAAAUCCAUACCUUCCUUCUUCUUUUCCUUCUCUCUCUCCUUCUCCACGAUAAUUCUAAAAGAAAAUUAUUAUAAGAAUACAAAAAAAAACUUGUGGCUCAGAAAUCAACAUAUUUGAGAUGUUUUGAGAUACAUAUCUUUUCGUCAUUUCACGCAUUUCUUGUCUCUCUUUGAAUAUGUUCGUGUACCUUCUACAUUUGUCUUUGCAUUUCUAUAAAUAUUUCUUUGCAAUCGUGUUCAAACUACUUUAGUCGUGUUAUUUCAGUCUUCAUCGAUUCUAUUUGAUCAACAUUGCAGCUGCUACUUGCAUUGAGGAUACGUAGUUAGUUGUUCUCUUUGAAGGUUGAAUUUUGCCGGGACACAACCUUUCUUGUGAUUGAAUGUAUUCAUCCACUCCACCUUAUCUUCACCAAUAUACAUUGGUUAUAGUUCACUGAUGGAUCCUUCUACACUUUGAGACAUAGGAAUCUCAAGGCCGCUUUCUCUCAUGCUAGCAAGUCUCUUAUUUUUACAUGUUUGCUAAAACCAAAAAAAGUUCUAAUUAUAAAUUUCAUAAUUAUAUUUAACAAACAAUUUAAAAAGUACCAUUUAGUGAUUUAACAACUAGAUGGGGCUUAGAGUACUUUCAAGUACACCUUUAUCCAAAAAGUGUUUGUCCCACUUUCUUUGUCCUGUAUUAAAAAUAAUUAUUUAUCAAAUUAAAUUUUAAAUGAAAAUUUAUAAAUUACAUAAUUACCAAUUUACCAUAUCAUCUUUAUAGGCAGUGAUUGAUUUAGCACCGCUAUGGUAAAUCAUGAAGUCUUCUUUUGUCGUUCUGUCGACUUUUUCAACAGAUGAUUUCUUCUUUCAUUUCUCAUCAAGCCAUGCCAUGAUUCAACCAUUUUCUUUCAUAUAAACGGUGAUAUCCAAAGAGGGUUGAAAGGAAUAACGGAUCUAUCGAUAUUACAAGUUUUUUACCUCUAUCUUGUGGGAACAUCACCCAUGUAGUCCACGGAUCGUUUAUUUUUCCUUUAACCAAAAACAUGAUUUGGUUUUUUACAUUUUGUUGGAACGGCCUACAAAAAAUUAUGAAAGUUAAGAAAAAAAAUAUAUAUAUAUAUAUAAGUUCUUACAUAUCCGAAUUGAAGAAGGUGGGAAGAGCACGUCCGGUUGAGCGAGAGAUCUUAUUUCCCAUCUUCCUCUUUCAGUUGGAGAAGAUGCAUCAUUCUCUUGACUUUGUCAUUAAAGAGCUCUCGAAGCGUUUAAUAAUUUUCUAUCAAAUUCAUACAAUUCAUAUAAAUUCAAACAAGACAAUAAAUUCAUAUAUACAAGACAAUUGAUGAUGAACAGAAUAUUCUACCAACACUCGCGAUGGUGCGAGCGGCUACCUUCUCAUGCCGGAGGCUCUGAGAUCCACGACGUGCGUUCUACGUCAAGUCUUCUGGGAGAAAAUUGAUGAUUUAGUGCUCAAAUCGACGAUUUCUCCGUGAUUCACACUUUAGAAAGGAUGAAACUGAUGUCUUUAGAUUGAGCCUCGGGUCCUCUUUUAUAGGUGAUGCAGGGAAUACGUCUUCUGAUGAAGAGGAGAUAGUUAGUUCGGACAAACGAACUAACAACCCGAAGGGACUAUAAAGCUCAACACGUCCGAGAAGGAAGGCAAAAUAUAUUUUUACUCGAUUCAGUACCUUCGUUUUCCCUUUCUUUCUUCCCGUUCUUCUACUAUUGAGUUCUGUGCUAACUUCCUGGUGGAUUCCAGAUUUCACAAAAACCGGUGGAUUCCGUUAAUGAGCUCUCGUCAUCACCAACGUCGUCUCUCUCGAUGCUAAUCCUUAAUUUUGGAUUGUUGUAAAUGUUACUAUUUCAGAUAUUGUAAACUUUGAGUAUUUUUCAAUAAAGCAAACUUCAUUCCGUCAUACAUGAUUUUUAAUGAUUUCGGCCUAUCGUGCAUAAGCGGUCGUCAUCAGGUGGUAUCAGAGCCCCCAUAUCCAGGAAGCCGGAGGCACUAUAUCAAAUCACGUUACAAGACACGAUCCGGAUGAACUGAGGAAAGUAUUAACAGACCUUACCAAUGUGGUAGACGGGUUGUCUCGAAUGGUACAACAGUCUGUGGGUACCAGAACAAGAACCAUGCCUCGACCGGAGAUGGAGAGUCACGAUAGGGCGUCAUCAUCCCGUACACGGAGUUAUUGGACAGAGGAGGAGUCAUCUUCCGACGAGGACUAUAGUCAAGAAUGCCACAAUCACCGGACAACACAACCGUUUAGGGAGCCACCGCAAGGCCACUAACCGUUCCAUAGGGGUUGGCAAGAUGUACGUCAACCACAUGAGGAUCUCGGACGAUGUUACGACAAUGAAUAUGGUCUCUACAAGGCUCGUAUGGACAUUCCCGAGUUCACCAGACAGAAGAGGAUUGAAGAAACCUUAGACUAGAUUUCCGAAAUCGAAAGGUUCUUCGAUUGUAUGGAAAUCCCCGAACACAGACAAGUCAAGCUGGUUGUUAUGAAGCUGAAAAGUACAACCUCUGUGUGGUGGGAUCAGCUUACGGUAAAAAGACUUCGACAACGCAAAAUCCAUUCGGAAACGAUUCUUGCCAACCGACUACGAACGGGUGCUGUUUGCCCAUUACCAAAAUUGUCGCCAAGGUAACCGCAACGUCAAAAACUACACCGCACGAAAUUCCAUCGACUCACCGCACGAAAUGAUUUAGCAGAAUCGGAAAGUCAAGCGGUGGCUAGGUACGUGGGUGGACUCAAAAUUACAAUUCAAGAAAAAUUUCAAUUGCAUACCAUUUUUACGUUAUCAGAAGCAAUAAAUAUGGCAUCACGUAUAUAUUGAAUCAACAACCGGAAGAUCGUUUCUAUAUGUUCACCCAUCCGGGAUACAAAAUCACAAUGAUAACAACAAUAUCAACGUUACGUCAACCAAAGCAAAAGAAAAAGGACCACUGUUGGAGACAUCAAAAGACAUGGCACCGGGGAAGGAUCGAUGCCACAAUUCGCUUAGGGAUUGUACGAUGCUACCGGUGUCAAGAAUGGGGCCACAAGUCGAAUGUAUGUCCAAAGCGGCGGGGAAUUCAUAUGUCAAACGGUGUGGUGAAACUGUAGAAAUAAGAUUCUCAAUGACAUAUUUAGUUGUUAAUUAAUUUGAAAUAUAAUAAACCCUAAUUAACAAGAUAUAGAUAUAUAUGAGUUAAAACUACAUGAAUAAAUCUAUUAAACUCAUAUAGACAACAAAAUUGACUUGAUAUAUGAUUAAACUAAAAUGAGAUUAAGUAUUAAUUAUUUCCAUCAAAAAAAUCUUUACUAUUGAUCAAGUUAAUUAUUGAAGCUUGUAUUUAAUUAUGCACACCUAUUUGCUUGCAUUGACUCUUGUUUCAAGUUGAUCAAUGUCUUAAAGGUUAAUCAACAAGGUGUGAAAGCUACAAUUAUUUAUCCAAGCUUCAAAUGGACCCAAGGUGUAAAAAACGUGUAAAAGUGCAAUCAUGAUCAAUUCCAAGAGCAUAUCCAAUAUAUUAACUACAAAGAUUUUGAAAUCAAUGCUACACAAAAUUCUAGUUGAAAAGUUUAAAUUGGAAGAGCACAAAAAACGUGUGGAGGUUCAAUCUCCCAAAAUGUUACACAAUCAUGACUUUGGAUUUAAUG